GAAAACAGAAUAUCCAUCAACUUCAGCAAAACAUAGGUUUCAUGCAAGUAACAGGUCAACAUGGAAUACGCUCUCCACCCAGGCACCUGAUCUCACCCCUGGAAUAACUAGGAGUCCAUGUUAAAGCCCCGUUCACAGUACUUUAAGACCUAGAUGUGAUAUGGGAGCUUUCACACUUUCACUUUUAGCAGUUAGCUUGGCUGUUUUCUUUCUUCUUUGCAGUUCAAAAGACUUGCCGAGUGUUCGAUGUAAACAUCUUCUUAAUUUGGGUGUGAAAAAAUGUGCAGAGGAUGAAAAAGCUUCAGGAACUGUUAAUGAUACGUCCAUUCCAUCCAUUUCUCCGAAGCAACUUAAUAACACUGGAAAAAGAGAAAACAACAGCGCUCCUCUAAGCUCAAUGAAAGAAAAUUUACCAAAUUUCUCAAUUAUUGGAAUAGGCGUCGUGAUCGUUGGUUUCGCUGCAUUUGGAAUAUUCAUUUUCAUACUACACAAAAGGAAUAUACUUCCUAGAAAUUUUUAUCGUCCUAGCAAUGAUCUCAAUAACCCUUCAGAAAGAUAUCCUCUGAAUCAGGAAAAUGAAAUACAGGAUAAUCAAUCAUAGCUGAACAGACUCGAGGCACAUGACAAUGUGAUCCAAAGCCACGCAUAAUUUUCAUUGACUGUAGAUGUUUUUUAAUGUAACAGACAUUACAGGUUAAAUUUUACCCCGAAAUUCUGGAAAUCCAGUCUAGUGCUCUACCAUGGGCAAGAUAGUUAAAAGGGUAAACCCAGAAGCCGAACUGGUUGGAAGUUUCAUCUAUUCAGAAAUAUAUGCCCUGGCUCUAAAACAUAUGAGGAGGUCUAUAUUGGUAUUCAAUCCACAUGCCACAAAAUACAUGAACAGUAAUGUAACACGGUCAGAUUUGUUUAAAAUUGAAUGUAGGACUUUAUAUGAAUCCGUUAUACAAAUACAUGUAGCUAGAGUGCUCUGCCGACUGAGCUAAUGUGUUUAUCCAAAGCCCAAGCUAGGAGUAAGCUUGCCAUUCCAAACUACAACAUUUGUUUCCAGUGAAAUCUCAGAGAAAAAUGAGAGAAAAUAAUAUGUCAGCGUGGGAAUUUUUUUUGGAAGCAAUAAAUUGUGUUAUACUAACAAGUGAUCUGGUGCAAUACUUUAACAAUUUGCUCAAUCAAAAGUUCCAGUCAUUAGAAUUUACAUAUAUCUUCGCAUAAAACAAGAUCGUCGAAUCCAAUCAAAGAAAUUUCAGGAAGGGCAGUUAAAAUCAAUUUAGUACAGAGAGACAAUACAAUAUAGGCACUAGUGCUAUCGUGUAAAUGUUCAGCUCUCUUGAGUUGAAAGGUUGAAAGUAAAAGUCCAUAUCAGAUGUUGUAACUUUGUGUUUAAGCUGCUUAGUGGCAUAGUAGAACAUAUAAUGUAUGAAUGGAUGCAUUUUUA